UACAGAGGGUGCAAGCGUUGUUCGGAAUUACUGGGCGUAAAGCGCGUGUAGGCUGCGGAGUAAGUCGGAUGUGAAAUCCCUUGGCUUAACCAAGGAAGUGCAUCCGAUACUGUUUCGCUUGAGUGUCGGAGGGGAUGGCGGAAUUCCCGGUGUAGAGGUGAAAUUCGUAGAUAUUGGGAAGAACACCGGUGGCGAAGGCGGCUCUCUGGACCGAGACGUGACGCUGAGCGCGGAAAGCGAUGGGGAGCAAAGCAG
rnacentral:rRNA from 1 species